rnacentral:rRNA from 1 species
AGCUUGCUAGAAGUGGAUUAGUGGCGCACGGGUGAGUAAGGUAUAGUUAAUCUGCCCUACACAAGAGGACAACAGUUGGAAACGACUGCUAAUACUCUAUAUUCCUGCUUAACACAAGUUGAGUAGGGAAAGUUUUUCGGUGUAGGAUGAGACUAUAUAGUAUCAGCUAGUUGGUAAGGUAAUGGCUUACCAAGGCUAUGACGCUUAACUGGUCUGAGAGGAUGAUCAGUCACACUGGAACUGAGACACGGUCCAGACUCCUACGGGAGGCAGCAGUAGGGAAUAUUGCGCAAUGGGGGAAACCCUGACGCAGCAACGCCGCGUGGAGGAUGACACUUUUCGGAGCGUAAACUCCUUUUCUUAGGGAAGAAUUCUGACGGUACCUAAGGAAUAAGCACCGGCUAACUCCGUGCCAGCAGCCGCGGUAAUACGGAGGGUGCAAGCGUUACUCGGAAUCACUGGGCGUAAAGGGCGCGUAGGCGGAUUAUCAAGUCUCUUGUGAAAUCUAAUGGCUUAACCAUUAAACUGCUUGGGAAACUGAUAGUCUGGAGUGAGGGAGAGGCAGAUGGAAUUGGUGGUGUAGGGGUAAAAUCCGUAGAUAUCACCAAGAAUACCCAUUGCGAAGGCGAUCUGCUGGAACUCAACUGACGCUAAGGCGCGAAAGCGUGGGGAGCAAACAGGAUUAGAUACCCUGGUAGUCCACGCCCUAAACGAUGUACACUAGUUGUUGGGGUGCUAGUCAUCUCAGUAAUGCAGCUAACGCAUUAAGUGUACCGCCUGGGGAGUACGGUCGCAAGAUUAAAACUCAAAGGAAUAGACGGGGACCCGCACAAGCGGUGGAGCAUGUGGUUUAAUUCGAAGAUACGCGAAGAACCUUACCUGGGCUUGAUAUCCUAAGAACCUCUUAGAGAUAAGAGGGUGCUAGCUUGCUAGAACUUAGAGACAGGUGCUGCACGGCUGUCGUCAGCUCGUGUCGUGAGAUGUUGGGUUAAGUCCCGCAACGAGCGCAACCCACGUAUUUAGUUGCUAACGGUUCGGCCGAGCACUCUAAAUAGACUGCCUUCGUAAGGAGGAGGAAGGUGUGGACGACGUCAAGUCAUCAUGGCCCUUAUGCCCAGGGCGACACACGUGCUACAAUGGCAUAUACAAUGAGACGCAAUACCGCGAGGUGGAGCAAAUCUAUAAAAUAUGUCCCAGUUCGGAUUGUUCUCUGCAACUCGAGAGCAUGAAGCCGGAAUCGCUAGUAAUCGUAGAUCAGCCAUGCUACGGUGAAUACGUUCCCGGGUCUUGUACUCACCGCCCGUCACACCAUGGGAGUUGAUUUCACUCGAAGCCGGAAUACUAAACUAGUUACCGUCCACAGUGGAAUCAGCGACUGGGGUGAAGUCGUAACAAGGUAACCGUAGG